CCUACGGGGGGCUGCAGUAAGGAAUAUUGGUCAAUGGAGGAAACUCUGAACCAGCCAUCCCGCGUGAAGGAUGAAGGGGCUCUGCCUUGUAAACUUCUUUUGUCUGGGGCGAAAAAGCUCGAUUUAUCGAGAACUGACGGUACCAGAAGAAUAAGCACCGGCUAACUCCGUGCCAGCCGCCGCGGUACUACGGAGGGUGCAAGCAUCAUCCGGAAUCACUGGUUCUAAGGGGUGCGUGGAAGUCAGUGUAGGAAGGCUGUGGCUUAACCAUGGAAUUGCCAUUGAUACUGCAGAGCUUGAAUGAGGUUGAGGUUGGCGGAAUGUGACAUGUAGCGGUGAGAUGCUUAGAUAUGUCAUGGAACACCGAUUGCGAAGGCAGCUGACUGGACCUAUAUUGACGCUGAGGCACGAAAGCGUGGGGAGCGAACAGGAUUAGAUACCCUAGUAGUC
rnacentral:rRNA from 1 species